rnacentral:rRNA from 1 species
AACGAACGCUGGCGGCAGGCUUAACACAUGCAAGUCGAACGGUUGUAGCAAUACAGCAGUGGCAGACGGGUGAGUAACACGUGGGAACCUUCCUAGGGGUACGGAACAACUCAGGGAAACUUGAGCUAAUACCGUAUACGUCCGUGAGGAGAAAGAUUUAUCGCCCUUAGACGGGCCCGCGUCGGAUUAGGUAGUUGGUGGGGUAACGGCCUACCAAGCCUACGAUCCGUAGCUGAUCUGAGAGGAUGAUCAGCCACACUGGGACUGAGACACGGCCCAGACUCCUACGGGAGGCAGCAGUGGGGAAUCUUGGACAAUGGGCGCAAGCCUGAUCCAGCCAUGCCGCGUGAGUGAAGAAGGCCUUAGGGUUGUAAAGCUCUUUUGCCAGGGACGAUAAUGACGGUACCUGGAGAAUAAGCCCCGGCAAACUUCGUGCCAGCCGCCGCCGUAACAC